rnacentral:rRNA from 1 species
GCACAAGCGGUGGAGCAUGUGGUUAAUUCGAAGCAACGCGAAGAACCUUACCAGGUCUUGACAUCCCGAUGCUAUUCUAGAGAUAGAAAGUUACUUCGGUACAUCGGUGACAGGUGGUGCAUGGUUGUCGUCAGCUCGUGUCGUGAGAUGUUGGGUUAAGUCCCGCAACGAGCGCAACCCCUAUUGUUAGUUGCCAUCAUUCAGUUGGGCACUCUAGCGAGACUGCCGGUAAUAAACCGGAGGAAGGUGGGGAUGACGUCAAAUCAUCAUGCCCCUUAUGACCUGGGCUACACACGUGCUACAAUGGUUGGUACAACGAGUUGCGAGUCGGUGACGGCGAGCUAAUCUCUUAAAGCCAAUCUCAGUUCGGAUUGUAGGCUGCAACUCGCCUACAUGAAGUCGGAAUCGCUAGUAAUCGCGGAUCAGCACGCCGCGGUGAAUACGUUCCCGGGCCUU